rnacentral:misc_RNA from 1 species
GAAAUGCGAUAAGUAGUGUGAAUUGCAGAAUUCAGUGAAUCAUCGAAUCUUUGAACGCACAUUGCGCCCCUUGGUAUUCCAUGGGGCAUGCCUGUUCGAGCGUCAUUUGUACCUUCAAGCUUUGCUUGGUGUUGGGUGUUUGUCUCGCCUCUGCGCGCAGACUCGCCUCAAAACAAUUGGCAGCCGGCGUAUUGAUUUCGGAGCGCAGAACAUCUCGCGCUUUGCACUCAUAACGACGACGUCCAAAAAGUACAUUUUUUACACUCUUGACCUCGGAUCAGGUAGGGAUACCCGCUGAACUUAAGC